AGAGUUUGAUCAUGGCUCAGAACGAACGCUGGCGGCGCGCCUAAUACAUGCAAGUCGAGCGAGAAGGUGUAGCAAUACACUUGUAAAGCGGCGAACGGGUGAGGAAUACAUGGGUAAUCUACCAUCGAGUGGGGAAUAACCAGCCGAAAGGUUGGCUAAUACCGCGUACGCCUCCGGAUCUUCGGGUUCGGAGGGAAAGCCACACUGUGAGUGCGGCGCUCUUUGAUGAGCUCAUGUCCUAUCAGCUUGUUGGUAGGGUAACGGCCUACCAAGGCUUUGACGGGUAGCUGGUCUGAGAGGACGAUCAGCCACACUGGCACUGCGACACGGGCCAGACUCCUACGGGAGGCAGCAGUAAGGAAUAUUGCGCAAUGGGCGAAAGCCUGACGCAGCGACGCCGCGUGGGGGAUGAAGGUCUUCGGAUUGUAAACCCCUUUCGGGAGGGAAGAUGGAGCGAGCAAUCGUUCGGACGGUACCUCCAGAAGCAGCCACGGCCAACUUCGUG
rnacentral:rRNA from 1 species